UGGCUGUGAACUGUGUAUCUCUUACAUUUGCAUCCUUUUGGCAGAGUCUAUCCUCCUGCCCUUUGUCCCCAGAAUUUCGUUUGUCACUUCCUCCGCUUUUCCGACUCGUUUCCUUGGGGGUAUUAAGCUUACCUCGACUGAGCGGAGACUUCUCCAGGCGGUUUGGUGUUCGAUCCCUGCGCUCAUGGUUGCGAGAUCUAUCUUGAGG
rnacentral:lncRNA from 1 species